rnacentral:rRNA from 1 species
AUUGAACGCUGGCGGCAGGCCUAACACAUGCAAGCCGAGCGGCAGCGGGAAAGUAGCUUGCUACUUUUGCCGGCGAGCGGCGGACGGGUGAGUAAUGCCUGGGGAUCUGCCCAGUCGAGGGGGAUAACUACUGGAAACGGUAGCUAAUACCGCAUACGCCCUACGGGGGAAAGCAGGGGACCUUCGGGCCUUGCGCGAUUGGAUGAACCCAGGUGGGAUUAGCUAGUUGGUGAGGUAAUGGCUCACCAAGGCGACGAGCCCUAGCUGGUCUGAGAGGAUGAUCAGGCACACUGGAACUGAGACACGGUCCAGACUCCUACGGGAGGCAGCAGUGGGGAAUAUUGCACAAUGGGGGAAACCCUGAUGCAGCCAUGCCGCGUGUGUGAAGAAGGCCUUCGGGUUGUAAAGCACUUUCAGCGAGGAGGAAAGGUUUGUAGCUAAUAACUGCCAGCUGUGACGUUACUCGCAGAAGAAGCACCGGCUAGCUCCGUGCCAGCCGCCGCGGUAAAAC